UACGUAGGGGGCAAGCGUUGUCCGGAAUCAUUGGGCGUAAAGGGUGCGUAGGCGGCGCGGUAAGUCGGGUGUGAAAUCUCGGGGCUUAACUCCGAAACUGCAUUCGAUACUGCCGUGCUUGAGGACUGGAGAGGAGACUGGAAUUUACGGUGUAGCGGUGAAAUGCGUAGAUAUCGUAAGGAAGACCAGUGGCGAAGGCGGGUCUCUGGACAGUUCCCGACGCUGAGGCACGAAGGCCAGGGGAGCAAACGGG
rnacentral:rRNA from 1 species